GGACCCUGAACGCCGCCGCGUCAGUCCGCCUAGUUUGCCUCCUGGGAAAGAGGGAAUCUCUUCACGCUAGGGUGAAUCAGCCCAUCCUCUCCCAGACGCAGCUCGGAGGGGGCUUACCCCGCGGCAAGAGGAGGAGGAGGAGGAGUCCCGUGAAACUCUCGGUGGGUAACACACGCUCCCCUUCCUAGAGGAAGGGACAGCUCUCCCCGCCCCCAGGCGUCUGGGUCAUUUCAGGCAGACCCAGAAAGACUCACAGUUGGGGGAACCGUGUAUCCUGGGGGUGGGGGGAAGCAGGACAUCCCGAGUCGUCGAGCACUUUAUUCCCCAGCAGUCACCUAAGGAAACAUCAUUCAGCCCACUCAGCGUCCCCCUCUUACUUACACACACACACACACACACACACACAGUACUAAGGAGAUCGUCCUCCUGCACCCACGUGCGUGCACCACCGCAUCCCCCGCCUUGGCACGAGAGGCAUUGCCUCCAUCCACAUCCCAGGACGCCCCGAGCGAAGGCUCCAAUGCCAGGGAAGUGGGUGGCGUAUUAUUUUGGGGACGACUGAGCGGAGGCUCCAUACUCCGGAUGGGUAUGUCCGGGGCCACCGAGCGGGGGCUCCAUCCUCAGGGGGGUAGAAGUGGGGGGGGCUUUACAGCCCGACCAAAGGGAGAUCCCUCGCUACUCAGCCGAGGCUCUGCGGCCAGACUUCGAGCUGGCUACCUGGACAUCCUGGCAACCAUUAACCCAACAAUCCAACUCGCCCGCUUAGAGCGAACGCCUGCCGGAUCUGCUCCAGGCGAGGGGCACGCAUACAAAGACAAGAAAAGGGGUUUCCAAAGCAGCAUGCCUGUCCUCCAGAAGACCACAAGCAAGUCCCCGGCCGUCUGCCAACCCUUUAGCCCUUACCUCCUGCAGCCCGGGACAAUUGGGGGGUGGGGGGGAGGCCGAGGCUCCCGAGCGAGACCCUUCCACUAAGCUGGUGGAUCGUCCUCCUCCUCCUGCCGUCCUCUGCAACACUUGCAAGACCACUUUUUUCCCUGGGGAAAAAAAAAAGAGGGGAGCAGCCCGGGGAGAGAGAGGGCCUUCUGUCCUCCGCAAGCGGGUCCCUGGGAUGGGCAGCGGUGGGGAGCAGUGGGGGACGCUGCUGCCUCUGCCCCGGCUGCAGCCACAAGCUUCUUUACCAUUCAAACCUCUGGCCGCCCUGGCUCCUGCACCCCGCCCCCCCACCUCGUUGCCCCGAAGCUCCCGAGGAAACCAGGAACUGGAGCCCAGGAGAAUGGAACGGAGCUCCGGGAGCAGGAGGCAGAGGGCAAAGGGCUGGAGACAGGGGGCGCUGCGGGACGGAGGAGAAGAGGACGCAGGACGGGAAAGGAGGGCAGAUUCUCCUAGAGUCCCAAUUCUAUUCCAACAUUCCCACCACCACACACACCCAGUCCCUGCUCUUAGUUACCUACCCCCGGGUCUGGAAAGUGAAAAUUGUUUUCUCUAGAGCAAUCUUUUUUGUUUUAAAUCCCCCUCGAACACAGGACCUCUGUUUCGCCCUCCAAACCCCAGAUGGGGAAGAAGCACCGAGAAGAAUGCUCUCAAGGGAUGAGAAGAGGAAGAAAGAAGAAUGGUUUCCCUCCAGUGCAUUUUUGCAAGAAUCUUUUCCCUAUCUGUGUAACUGGAAUGUGCAUUUGCCACUAUGUCACCAGCAGCACUACCACCACCCCUGUUUCUCCUAACUACUACUUAAACUCUAAUAAAUUGUUUAAAGGAACAGGGGACCCUCCA
ensembl:lncRNA